rnacentral:rRNA from 1 species
GACGAACGCUGGCGGCGUGCCUAAUACAUGCAAGUCGAGCGGACGAAUCGAAAGCUUGCUUUUGAUUCGUUAGCGGCGGACGGGUGAGUAACACGUGGGCAACCUGCCCUGUAGACGGGGAUAACACCGAGAAAUCGGUGCUAAUACCGGAUAACACGAAAUGUCGCAUGACGUUUCGUUGAAAGACGGCGCAAGCUGCCGCUACAGGAUGGGCCCGCGGCGCAUUAGCUAGUUGGUGAGGUAACGGCUCACCAAGGCGACGAUACGUAGCCGACCUGAGAGGGUGAUCGGCCACACUGGGACUGAGACACGGCCCAGACUCCUACGGGAGGCAGCAGUAGGGAAUCUUCCGCAAUGGACGAAAGUCUGACGGAGCAACGCCGCGUGAGCGAAGAAGGCCUUCGGGUCGUAAAGCUCUGUUGUUAGGGAAGAACAAGUAACGCAGUAACUGGCGUUACCGUGACGGUACCUAAAGAGAAAGCCACGGCUAACUACGUG